AUGAACGCUGACAGAAUGCUUAACACAUGCAAGUCUUUGGCGAAGCUGUGCUUGCACAGCCUAGCCAGGGCGGACGGGUGAGUAACGCGUAAGGAACUUGCCCUGCAGUCAGGGAUAACAGACGGAAACGACUGAUAAGACCUGGUAAAGUCAGGCGGACUCAUGUCCAGCCUGAUGAAAAGAGAUGCUGCAGGAGAGCCUUGCGUCCUAUUAGCUUGUUGGUGGGGUAACGGCCCACCAAGGCGAUGAUAGGUAGCCGGCCUGAGAGGGUGGACGGCCACAAGGGGACUGAGAUACGGCCCUUACUCCUACGGGAGGCAGCAGUGGGGAAUAUUGGACAAUGGGGGCAACCCUGAUCCAGCAAUUCUGUGUGCACGAUGAAGGUUUUCGGAUUGUAAAGUGCUUUCAGCAGGGAAGAAAAAAUGACGGUACCUGCAGAAGAAGCGACGGCUAAAUACGUG
rnacentral:rRNA from 1 species